GAUGAACGCUGGCGGCGUGCCUAAUACAUGCAAGUCGAGCGAACAGACGAGGAGCUUGCUCCUCUGACGUUAGCGGCGGACGGGUGAGUAACAUGUGGAUAACCUACCUAUAAGACUGGGAUAACUUCGGGAAACCGGAGCUAAUACCGGAUAAUAUAUUGAACCGCAUGGUUCAAUAGUGAAAGACGGUUUUGCUGUCACUUAUAGAUGGAUCCGCGCCGCAUUAGCUAGUUGGUAAGGUAACGGCUUACCAAGGCAACGAUGCGUAGCCGACCUGAGAGGGUGAUCGGCCACACUGGAACUGAGACACGGUCCAGCCUCCUACGGGAGGCAGCAGUAGGGAAUCUUCCGCAAUGGGCGAAAGCCUGACGGAGCAACGCCGCGUGAGUGAUGAAGGUCUUCGGAUCGUAAAACUCUGUUAUUAGGGAAGAACAAAUGUGUAAGUAACUAUGCACGUCUUGACGGUACCUAAUCAGAAAGCCACGGCUAACUACGUG
rnacentral:rRNA from 1 species